UACGUAGGGGCCUAGCGUUGUCCGGAAUUAUUGGGCGUAAAGAGCUCGUAGGCGGUUCGGCAAGUUGGAUGUGAAAUCUCCACGCUCAACGUGGAGGGGCCAUUCGAAACUGCCGUGACUCGAGUCCGGUAGGGGAGUGUGGAAUUCCCGGUGUAGCGGUGAAAUGCGCAGAUAUCGGGAGGAACACCAGUAGCGAAGGCGGCACUCUGGGCCGGUACUGACGCUGAGGAGCGAAAGCGUGGGGAGCGAACAGG
rnacentral:rRNA from 1 species